GACGAACGCUGGCGGCGUGCUUAACACAUGCAAGUCGAACGGAAAGGCCCUGCUUUUGUGGGGUGCUCGAGUGGCGAACGGGUGAGUAACACGUGAGUAACCUGCCCUUGACUUUGGGAUAACUUCAGGAAACUGGGGCUAAUACCGGAUAGGAGCUCCUGCUGCAUGGUGUGGGUUGGAAAGUUUCGGCGGUUGGGGCUGGACUCGCGGCUUAUCCGCUUGUUUGUGGGGUAGUGGCUUACCAAGGCUUUGACGGGUAGCCGGCCUGAGAGGGUGACCGGCCACAAUGGGACUGAGAGAGGGCGCAGACUCCUACGGGAGGCAGCAGUGGGGAACAUUGCGGAAUGGGCGGAAGCCUGAUGCAGCAACGCCGCGUGCGGGAAGACGUCCUUCGGGUUGUAAACAGCUGUCGCCGGUGACGAAGCGUGAGUGACGGUAAUGGGUAAAGAAGCACCGGCUAACUACGUG
rnacentral:rRNA from 1 species